GGUCUUUUAGUAUAAUGGUUAUUACUUCAAUCCUUCACGUUGAAAACGCAAGUUCGAUUCUUGUAAAGAUCA